rnacentral:rRNA from 1 species
GGAACGACAUUAUUGAUUCUUCGGAGGAUUUAAUGGGCGUCGAGCGGCGGACGGGUGAGUAAUGCCUAGGAAAUUGCCUUGAUGUGGGGGAUAACCAUUGGAAACGAUGGCUAAUACCGCAUAAUGCCUACGGGCCAAAGAGGGGGACCUUCGGACCUCUCGCGUCAAGAUAUGCCUAGGUGGGAUUAGCUAGUUGGUGAGGUAAUGGCUCACCAAGGCGACGAUCCCUAGCUGGUCUGAGAGGAUGAUCAGCCACACUGGAACUGAGACACGGUCCAGACUCCUACGGGAGGCAGCAGUGGGGAAUAUUGCACAAUGGGCGAAAGCCUGAUGCAGCCAUGCCGCGUGUAUGAAGAAGGCCUUCGGGUUGUAAAGUACUUUCAGUUGUGAGGAAGGGGGUGUUGUUAAUAGCGUUAUCUCUUGACGUUAGCAACAGAAGAAGCACCGGCUAACUCCGUGCCAGCAGCCGCGGUAAUACGGAGGGUGCGAGCGUUAAUCGGAAUUACUGGGCGUAAAGCGCAUGCAGGUGGUUCAUUAAGUCAGAUGUGAAAGCCCGGGGCUCAACCUCGGAACUGCAUUUGAAACUGGUGAACUAGAGUGCUGUAGAGGGGGGUAGAAUUUCAGGUGUAGCGGUGAAAUGCGUAGAGAUCUGAAGGAAUACCAGUGGCGAAGGCGGCCCCCUGGACAGACACUGACACUCAGAUGCGAAAGCGUGGGGAGCAAACAGGAUUAGAUACCCUGGUAGUCCACGCCGUAAACGAUGUCUACUUGGAGGUUGUGGCCUUGAGCCGUGGCUUUCGGAGCUAACGCGUUAAGUAGACCGCCUGGGGAGUACGGUCGCAAGAUUAAAACUCAAAUGAAUUGACGGGGGCCCGCACAAGCGGUGGAGCAUGUGGUUUAAUUCGAUGCAACGCGAAGAACCUUACCUACUCUUGACAUCCAGAGAAGCCAGUGGAGACACAGGUGUGCCUUCGGGAGCUCUGAGACAGGUGCUGCAUGGCUGUCGUCAGCUCGUGUUGUGAAAUGUUGGGUUAAGUCCCGCAACGAGCGCAACCCUUAUCCUUGUUUGCCAGCGAGUAAUGUCGGGAACUCCAGGG